rnacentral:rRNA from 1 species
GGACGAACGCUGGCGGCGUGCCUAAUACAUGCAAGUCGAGCGAACAUUUGAGAGCUUGCUCUCAAAUGUUAGCGGCGGACGGGUGAGUAACACGUGGGCAACCUGCCUAUAAGACUGGGAUAACUUCGGGAAACCGGAGCUAAUACCGGAUAAUUCACAUCUACUCAUGUAGAUGUGCUGAAAGACGGUUUACGCUGUCACUUAUAGAUGGGCCCGCGGCGCAUUAGCUAGUUGGUGAGGUAACGGCUCACCAAGGCAACGAUGCGUAGCCGACCUGAGAGGGUGAUCGGCCACACUGGGACUGAGACACGGCCCAGACUCCUACGGGAGCAGCAGUAGGAAUCUUCCGCAAUGGACGAAAGUCUGACGGAGCAACGCCG